rnacentral:rRNA from 1 species
GUCCAGACUCCUACGGGAGGCAGCAGUGGGGGAUAUUGCACAAUGGGGGGAACCCUGAUGCAGCGACGCCGCGUGGGUGAAGAAGCGCCUCGGCGCGUAAAGCCCUGUCAGCAGGGAAGAAAAUGACGGUACCUGAAGAAGAAGCCCCGGCUAACUACGUGCCAGCAGCCGCGGUAAUACGUAGGGGGCAAGCGUUGUCCGGAUUUACUGGGUGUAAAGGGCGUGUAGCCGGGCCGGCAAGUCAGAUGUGAAAUCCCAAGGCUCAACCUUGGAACUGCAUUUGAAACUGUUGGUCUUGAGUAUCGGAGAGGCAGGCGGAAUUCCUAGUGUAGCGGUGAAAUGCGUAGAUAUUAGGAGGAACACCAGUGGCGAAGGCGGCUUUCUGGACUGUAACUGACGUUGAGGCACGAAAGUGUGGGGAGCAAACAGGAUUAGAUACCCCGGUA